GACGAACGCUGGCGGCGUGCCUAAUACAUGCAAGUCGAGCGAAUCAACAGGAGCUUGCUCCUGUUGGUUAGCGGCGGACGGGUGAGUAACACGUGGGCAACCUGCCUGUAAGACUGGGAUAACACCGGGAAACCGGUGCUAAUACCGGAUAAUCCUUUUCCUCUCACGAGGAAAAGCUGAAAGUCGGUUUCGGCUGACACUUACAGAUGGGCCCGCGGCGCAUUAGCUAGUUGGUGAGGUAACGGCUCACCAAGGCGACGAUGCGUAGCCGACCUGAGAGGGUGAUCGGCCACACUGGGACUGAGACACGGCCCAGACUCCUACGGGAGGCAGCAGUAGGGAAUCUUCCACAAUGGACGAAAGUCUGAUGGAGCAACGCCGCGUGAGCGAUGAAGGCCUUCGGGUCGUAAAGCUCUGUUGUUAGGGAAGAACAAGUACCGGAGUAACUGCCGGUACCUUGACGGUACCUAACCAGAAAGCCACGGCUAACUACGUGCCAGCCGCCGCAGUAA
rnacentral:rRNA from 1 species